CUGGGUCGAGGCAGUUCUGAGCACAGUACACUGGGCUGCCCCCACUGCCCAGUGCCCUGCUCAGCUCAAGUCCUUGUGCCCCUC
ensembl:miRNA MIR4277 microRNA 4277